GUAGAGACACAGCCCGGCACGCGACAUGAUCACAACGCUCUGUCACGUCAUCAUUUCGAACAUAAACAAAACUGACAGUUGAACGUGACGAGCCGCGGCCAUUUUAAAAGAUUUCACUGAACGUCUUUCGGAGAAGCACAACCUCAACCGACGACUGUUCUCAUCCCGACACCAACUAAACCGACAACUGACGAGGACCAGGUCUGUUUCAGCACGGACCAUGUGAGAUUUCUACCCAUAGGCGGCACCAAGGAGGGGCUUGCCGGUGCUUCAGCUCCCCCUAGUAGUGGCAUAGCACCCCCGCAAUCCAAUAAUAAUAUUUUUAAGACAUCUCAUGCGCUUUGUAUCUAAUUUCUGUCUGAAAAUGUCCUUAAUGAAUUAUGUUAUCAAAUGUAUUUAUUGAUUUUAACUCAAGGUCAAAUGUGAAGUGUCAGGUGUCACGUAUUUGUGUCGGCUACGUUGUCGGCUAUCAUUGUAUGACUAUGAAUGUCAACAACAACAACAACUUUGUGGAAUCCGACGGUACCGCGAUAUCAGAAUCAGAUGGCCCUACUUCUCGUCUCCCUCGCUUGGAAGACCCAGUUACCGCGCCUGCGGUUACUGAUGUGGAGAAAGGUACCGUUAUGGAAUCGGGCAGCAACAGGACCUCACAGUCGGAUGGGGAGGCUACCGCGACCGCCUCAAGCGCUGGUCCCAGCCCCGCGCCCGGGGAGCUAAUGCCCGGAGCCAGGGAGCUCACGCCUGCUGAUGCUGAUAGCACCACACGCACGGCUUGUGGACCCCAUGAUCGGCAACAAUUUGUGUUUCCACUGUCCUGCAGUUGUGUUUUGAGAUGGCGGCCUCAUAGGUCGGUGCCUCAUGACUGCAUGUUCAGGUUGUGCUGGUGCUAGACGAGGAGCGCCCCCAGUCAGUGCUGGAGCACAGCCAAAGCACCUGCAAUCAAAUUUCAAUGGCGCUGCCCCUAAGAAGAUAUAGGAGGCCCUGAGAGGGAGGGCUAAUCACACAAGAUAUGUAACACUUAUAUAAUAAUUAACCUAACAAAAUAAACUUGAAUGGUAUCAUGUAGGAACUAA